rnacentral:rRNA from 1 species
GACGGGGGGGGCAAGUGUUCUUCGGAAUGAUUGGGCGUAAAGAGCUCGUAGGCGGUCUGUCGCGUCGGCUGUGAAAACCCGGAGCUCAACUCCGGGCCUGCAGUCGAUACGGGCAGACUGGAGUUCGGCAGGGGAGACUGGAAUUCCUGGUGUAGCGGUGAAAUGCGCAGAUAUCAGGAGGAACACCGGUGGCGAAGGCGGGUCUCUGGGCCGAUACUGACGCUGAGGAGCGAAAGCGUGGGGAGCAAACAGG